rnacentral:rRNA from 1 species
GAUGAACGCUAGCGACAGGCUUAACACAUGCAAGUCGAGGGGUAACAGGGUAGCAAUACUGCUGACGACCGGCGCACGGGUGAGUAACACGUAUGCAACCUGCCCCAUACACAGGGACAGCCUUCCGAAAGGGAGAUUAAUACCUGAUGAAACAGGGAUGCCGCAUGGCAAUAUUUGUUAAAGGUAGUAAUACGGUAUGGGAUGGGCAUGCGGAGGAUUAGAUAGUUGGUAGGGUAACGGCUUACCAAGUCAGCGAUCCAUAGGGGCACUGAGAGGUUUGUCCCCCACACUGGUACUGAGACACGGACCAGACUCCUACGGGAGGCAGCAGUGAGGAAUAUUGGUCAAUGGACGAGAGUCUGAACCAGCCAAGUCGCGUGAAGGAAGAGAGUAUUAUGUAUUGUAAACUUCUUUUGCAGGGGGGUAAAAAGCGGGACGUGUCCCGUCUUGCAAGUACCCUGCGAAUAAGCAUCGGCUAACUCCGUGCCAGCAGCCGCGGUAAUACGGAGGAUGCGAGCGUUAUCCGGAUUUAUUGGGUUUAAAGGGUGCGUAGGUUGGUCUGCAAGUCAGCGGUGAAAUGUUCCUGCUUAACAGGGAAACUGCCGAUGAAACUGCGGGUCUUGAGUGUAAACGGGGCAGGCGGAAUUCGUAAAGUAGCGGUGAAAUGCAUAGAUAUUACGAAGAACACCGAAAGCGCAGGCAGUCUGCCAGGCUACAACUGACACUGAGGCACGAAAGUGUGGGUAUCAAACAGGAUUAGAUACCCUGGUAGUCCACACAGUAAACGAUGAUUACUCGCUGUUUGCGAUAUACGGUAAGCGGCUAAGCGAAAGCGUUAAGUAAUCCACCUGGGGAGUACGCCGGCAACGGUGAAACUCAAAGGAAUUGACGGGGGCCCGCACAAGCGGAGGAACAUGUGGUUUAAUUCGAUGAUACGCGAGGAACCUUACCCGGGUUCGAACGGCUGUCGGAUGGAUGUGAAAGCAUUCAGUCAGCAAUGAGGACAGUCGAGGUGCUGCAUGGUUGUCGUCAGCUCGUGCCGUGAGGUGUCGGCUUAAGUGCCAUAACGAGCGCAACCCCUGCCGGAAGUUGCCAACAGGUAAAGCUGGGGACUCUGCCGGGACUGCCGCCGCAAGGUGAGAGGAAGGAGGGGAUGACGUCAAAUCAGCACGGCCCUUACGUCCGGGGCUACACACGUGUUACAAUGGACGGGACAGAAGGUAGCUACUUAGCAAUAAGAUGCGGAUCCGGAAACCCGUUCCCAGUUCGGAUUGGAGUCUGCAACUCGACUCCAUGAAGGUGGAUUCGCUAGUAAUCGCGCAUCAGCCAUGGCGCGGUGAAUACGUUCCCGGGCCUUGUACACACCGCCCGUCAAGCCAUGGAAGCCGGGAGUACCUGAAGUACGCAACCGCAAGGAACGUCCUGGGGUAAGACCGGUAACUGGGGCU